GAUGAAGGAGAUGAAGAUCAUAAUGAGUCAUGACCCUUGAAGUUGUAUCACAUGUUUGAUAUGAUCAGCUGGGCAACUAAGGACCCUUUGGCAGUCACAGGUAGCUAGAAUGGGAUGUUUAUUAUGGCAGGCUCCAGCAUACAUAAACAGUGAAACUUUUUAUAUCGGUUCUUUUCUGUUUCUCUUAGUGCUGAGAGCUCUUAUGAAAUGGCAUUAAGGGUGUUUUACUACGUAUUUUUUUAUGUAAUGGGUGUUGAGAUGUUAAUCCAAAUGCCUGGAAAUUUUUGGUUUGCUUGAUAAGUUGAUGAUGAGAUUAGAAUGUUAAUGAAAACAAUUUCAUUUCCUUUGGGC
rnacentral:misc_RNA from 1 species